rnacentral:pre_miRNA from 1 species
ACACACUGAUUCUCGGAAGCUAUCAACUUUGCUCGUCCUCGAUGAAUUGGUCCUGAUAUGUGCGUGAACGUUUUUUGGUGGAAGCAAGAGAUUUGGGUCUGAUUCGGCUGAAGAACCGGCCGCAGGCUCCAACUUCAAGCUUUUCGAAAACACGCUCACGCACAUAUCGGGACCAAUUCAUCGAGGACAAGCAAAGUUGAUAGCUUCCGAGAAUCAGUGUGU